rnacentral:siRNA from 1 species
CUGGUGCAUUAGUCAACAUGGCCU